rnacentral:rRNA from 1 species
ACGGGGAGCACCACAACAGGUGGAGCCUGCGGUUUAAUCGGACUCAACGCCGGGAAGCUCACCGGAUAAGACAGCGGAAUGAUAGCCGGGCUGAAGACUCUGCUUGACUAGCUGAGAGGAGGUGCAUGGCCGUCGUCAGUUCGUACUGUGAAGCAUCCUGUUAAGUCAGGCAACGAGCGAGACCCACGCCAACAGUUGCCAGCUCGUCCUCCGGGAUGGUGGGGACACUGUUGGGACCGCCUCUGCUAAAGAGGAGGAAGGAAUGGGCAACGGUAGGUCAGCAUGCCCCGAAUUAUCUGGGCUACACGCGGGCUACAAUGGGUGGGACAAUGGGUAUCGACACCGAAAGGUGAAGGCAAUCUCCUAAACCCAUCCGUAGUUCGAAUUGUGGGCUGCAACUCGCCCACAUGAAGCUGGAAUCUGUAGUAAUCGUGUCUCAAAAUGGCACGGUGAAUAUGUCCCUGCUCCUU